GGUCCGUUCGUAUAGUGGUUAGUAUAGUGGAUUUUGAUAUUACAAUAUUCCAUUGACCCCGGUUCGAACCCGGGACGGACCU